rnacentral:lncRNA from 1 species
UCCCUAACGCAAACGUACACUGUUCAUCCUCCUCACCAAAUCGCACAAAUCCCUACCCAAAAUCGCCAAGAUUUUGAGUGCGUGAGUCUCAAAACCCUCCUCACGCGUCCCUCCUUCUCUUAACUCACCAUUUCUAACGAUUUUUGGAACUAAAAAUGCUCCCUCCCUUCACUCGCUCAGGUCAGAUAUUUAGCUGACAAUUGGAAGGUCCUAGAGACGAAUCAUUGGAUCAGGAUGAGUCGCUGUAUUGACUUUGUUCAAUCCAAGCCCCAUUUUCAUCAGGGGUACAUCUCUAUAAAGAACAUGAUAAGAUUUUAGAUACAAGGGUUUUUUUUAGAGAGAGGACCUGAAGGAAAAUAGAAGAUGAGAAAAAUUCUAUAGCUAGUGUUCUUCACAUUUAUUCUGUUUUUUUAUUCGCAAUGUUGAUUCUAAAAAACACAUAUACAAAAAAUGUUUGAAGUCCUGUGACUUUUUUGUUCGAUUCAUUGUUCACCCAUUUUGAAAUACAUAUAUUCCGUCUUCAAAGUUAUUGAAAUUCGUUGUUGAUCGAGGCAUCGACCUGUGGCUGCUGUUGCAUUGCAUCGAUUUCAAGUGCUGAGAUUCUCUUACAUUUUUUUCAGGUUUAUCUCUGUUCCUUCUUACAUUGUAGCGACCUGGAAGGAUUGUUAAAAUGGAUUCAGUCACGAUAAUAGACGAGGCUCGUAUGGUUACCCUCGACUUCAUUUAUUGUUAUGCUUUCAAUGUUCUCCAUGAAUUCAUGUGUAGUGAGUCAGCUUCUGAAUAUAUGAGGAGUAAAAUUUGUGUGGUUUCAAUAUCGUAUUCGUGUUUGUAUUGAUUUUGAAGAAUGUUUUAGUGUUAUCCUCAGCUCAUACUUGCUUCGAUGAAUCAGCUUCUGAAUAGAUGAGGAGUAAAAUUUGUGUGGUUUCAAUAUCGUAUUCGUGUUUGUAUUGAUUUCUAAGACUAUUUUAGUGUUAUUCUUCAGCUCAUACUUGCUUCGAAAUGGAUCCCCUGCUAAUGUUGCAAAUCUGGUGGCGUGGAGUGUUUUAUUAGUCUGGUUCUUUCAUAGUAAUUAAUUGAUUUUGUAUUCAAUUUUUACUCCAUGACAAUGAAACACUCUAUUGAAUGUGUGAAGAAAGUAUGUUAGAACAUUGUGGUAUUAAAAGUUUGUCCAGUGUAGUGAGAUAGGGGUCAGUUUAUUUUCUUUUCCU